AAUAAGUGCAGCCGUGAAUAUCCGUGCCCAACGUUUGACCGUCCGUCUUAUUUAAAAAAUUUAAAGAUAUUUAGUCACACAUAGAGUACUAUUCAUGUUUUAUCAUCUAAUAGCAAUACAAAUACUAAUCAUAAUUUUUUUUCAAAUAAAACGAACAGUCAAACAUUGAACGUAAAUAGUGCAAAACUGCACUUAUU
rnacentral:pre_miRNA from 1 species